rnacentral:lncRNA from 1 species
GGUAACGUGGGCUUGUGACCAAGUGUAGCAUUAAGGUAUUUGAAUAAUUUGGUAUUGAAUUCAAGGUUUACAUUAUGAGCUAGCUUUGAUUUGCCCGUUUCCAAGUUGGGCAGUGGAUGAUUUGUUUCAGGCUAACGCUUGAAUCAUAUUCUCCCUGAAUUUGAGGGUAAUGCGUGAGGCUGGUUUCACAGAGCAGCGAUUACCUCUCACUCUCAACGGUGGAAGGAUUACAAGUCAUUUGCUCAUAUAGUCAAUUAGCCUUGGAAUCCACCAAAUUCAACAAAUAUUUUUUAUUUUACAAAUAGAAUCCAUAUUCUUUGUUUAUUUUUAAAUUCUACAAUUUAAAUUGCAAAUAUACGAAAAAAUACUAUCCAGCCAAAUUAAAAUGACCCUAAAAUACGAAACUUGGUUUCUCAGACCAUUUCACCCCAUCAGAAGAUUUUUUUUUUAACUUAUAUAACAAAAUAAUACUAUAAGAAAUAAUCCCACAUCGAAGAAAUUAAAAAAGCUUUGUUGUUUAUAUACAAGAAAUCUACAAAUCAAUCGCUGAGCUCGGUAACGUGGGCUUGUCACCAAGUGGAGCAUUAAGGUAUUUGGAUAAUUUGGUAUUGAAUUCAAGGUUUACAUUAUGAGCUAGCUUUGAUUUGCCCGUUUCCAAGUGGGCAGUGGAUGCUAUGUUUCAGGCUAAUGCUUGAAUCAUAUUCUCCCUAAACUUGAGGGUAAUGCGUGAUGCUGGCUGGCUUCACAGAGCAGCGAUUACCUCUCACUCUCAACGGUGGAAGGAUUACAAGUCAUUUGCUCAUAUUGUCAAUUACACUUGGAAUCCACCAAAUUCAACAAAUAUUUUUAAUUUUAUAAAUAGAAUCCAUAUUCUUUGUUUAUUUUUCAAUUCUACAAUUUAAAUUGCAAAUAUACGAAAAAAUACUAUUCAGUCAAAAUAAUAUGAUCCUAAAAUAGGAAACUUGGUUUCUCUGACCAUUUCACCCCAUCUGAAGAUUUUUUUUAAAACUUAUAUAACAAAAUAAUACUAUCAGAAAUAAUCCCACAUAGAAGAAAUUGAAAAAAGCUUUGUUGUUUAUAUACAAGAAAUCUUCAAAUCAAUCGCUGAGCUCGGUAACGUAGGCUUGUCACCAAGUGGAGCAUUAAGGUAUUUGAAUAAUUUGGUAUUGAAUUCAAGGUUUACAUUAUGAGCUAGCUUUGAUUUGCCCGUUUCCAAGUUGAGCAGUGGAUGCUAUGUUUCAGGCUAACGCUUGAAUCAUAUUCUCCCUAAACUUGAGGGUAAUGCGUGAGGCUGGUUUCACAGAGCAACGAUUACCUCUCACUCUCAACGGUGGAAGGAUUACAAGUCAUUUGCUCAUAUAGUCAAUUAGCCUUGGAAUCCACCAAAUUCAACAAAUAUUUUUUAUUUUAUAAAUAGAAUCCAU